AUGGAAUGGAGCUGGGUCUUUCUCUUUUUCCUGUCAGUCCCUGCUGGUGUCCACUCCCAGGUCCAUCUGCAACAGUCUGAAGCUGAGCUGGUGAAACCUGGGUCUUCAGUGAAAUUCUCCUGCAAGGCUUCUGGCUACACAUUCACCAGCUAUCCUAUGGAAUGGGUAAAGCAGAAGCCUGGACAGAGCCUGGAAUGGAUUGGAACUAUUGUUACUGGAAGUGGACAUACUGCCUACAAUGAGAAGUUUAAGGGCAAGGCCACACUGACUGCAGACACUUCUGCCAGCACAGCCUACAUGGAACUCAGCAGAUUGACAUCUGACGACUCUGCAGUCUAUUACUGUGCAAGACACAGUGUUGUAACCACAUCCUGA